AUAAGAAAAUGGAUGGAUGGAUGAAUAGACAAAAGUUGCGGGGCUUCCAAAAAUUAGAUCAACAUAUUAAAUGUAAUUUUAUUUGUCUCUAUAGCGGCCAUGACGGGCGUUGACAUCUGUCCCUGUGUGGUUUCCAUAGAAACAAAUUGACCAUCUUUUGACGCCGAUAGUAUUCGUCCCCUUUUAUAUUUGACACUUUUUGACCUGUUCAUUUUUCACGGCGCAGCUGACGUUUACCGUUGUCCAACAAUAGUUUUUACGAUCAUUUAUGAUGACAGCUCUCUCAGGUAAACACACUCACCAGUGCUUAUUUAGAUAAGUGCGCAAUUACACCCCAGCGUCUCACUGUAAACUGUGUGUGUGUGUGUGUGUGUGUGUGUGUGUGUGUGUGUGUGUGUGUUUUAUCUUUUUAUUGCCUUUGCGGGAUCUUGGCUAGCUCAGGAUGUCGUUACUCCCACAGAAAAUAAGGGCUGGGAAGCUUUCGAGGCUUUUACCGACACUCAUUGUAAUACAGCAUGCGGACAAAAAUGUUUGGGACAUGCGGCCAUCACACUUACAUGAAGUGAAAUGAGAUAAAAUACGGUGUUUUGAAGUGGGAUUUUUUUUUUUGGGGGGGGGGGGUCUAAUUCAUCCCAAAAGUUGUUUGCUGGAUUUGUGGUUAAAAUGGAAAACUGAAUCCCCAAACCUUUGUCGGGGUACAAUUGUCCAAAUGAUUUGUCCGGAAUUAUAGCGGCAGCCGACAGACGAGUGGUGAGCAGGUCUGCCUCACAGUUCAUCGGUUCUGGAUUUGAAUCUUGAAUCUGACCUUUCUGUGUGGAAUUUGUGCAUAUUCUCUUACAGUGACCCAAAUUGCCUUUUUAAAGUCUACUGGCUGAAUGCUAACACAUAAUGGGAAACACCAUCGAAGUGCUCGUCAAUAGCAUCGUCAUCAUGGCGUUAUCUUUCAAGCAACAGUUUUGAACACAAAUGAUGAAGGUACACAUCUAGAUGGGUAUUAUAAAAAUGCACUUUAGUGGGCUAGUUUUAAAACGUGACAAACAUUUGUGGGGGAGGGGAGUUUGGGGGGGGCAACAGCAUUUCAUCCGCUAUUGGAAUAAUGAAGCGAUUAAGAGACUUGUGUAGAUCCAGUUGCAUGAUAUGAGAAGAAGAAGCCUAUCGAUGGACUUUUGAGUCUCUCAAGUGUAGCAGUGCUAGCCAAGAGACCAAGCUGCGGUCCUCACUGCAUGGUUGUGGUGCACCAUGCUGUCCCAGCUUGGGCCUCCCUGUUGGUACACAGGCCUCUCUUGUCUGUCACUUUCUCUUACGAACAAUCCUCUCUAUGAGCGUGUGUGUGUGUAUGCGCAUAUUGUGUGGAUUUAGAGAUGCUAUGUUUGGGGUGCGGGGGUUGGGACUUUUCACUGUUUCACUGAGGACAAUAAGCCUUUUGAUGCAUCUCGGAGCUCCUUUGUUUCCCCUAAUGAGGAACAACGGGUCUGUGGCAGACGGAGUUUUUUUGUGGGGUGGGGGGCGAAUAAUUGAAUGAGCGAGAAAUUGUUGGUUGGAGGGCGUUUUGUCUUGUAGCGCUUAUCUGCUCGGCUGUGGCUAGCACUUGGAUCCUGAUCAGCUCUGUAUCUUGAUUUGAAGAGCUUGACCUGAUCUGAAAGGUUGGCCAGCGGUGGGAAGUACUGAAGAACAAAUGUUGAAUUCGAGUUUUCAGUCAUCUGUGCUUUGAGAAUUUAUAUUUCGGACAACUCUUGAAAAUCGACAUCAGUGCUUUGUACUCCUUACAAGAUCAGCUAGUUACUUGUAAACAUUAGCUAACUUAUCAUUUUUAGCUACUCAGUUCGUAUUGUUGUUAAAUGUAAUGGAAACAUGUUGUUUUUAUAACAAAAAAACUAAUGCUAGCUUGCGCUUAGUAUUAAAAAAAGGGGGGUUUUCUUGUUCCAAGUCAUCAAAAUUGGCAUUGUACAAUUGGCAUAUAAUUGACUAGCAACUCAUGAUUGCUUUUUACUUUUGUACGUAAUUGCAUUUCAGGAUCUAUCCUAUUUUUACUGAAGUAGUUGAAUCAGUACUUCAACUAAUACAAGAGUCUUUUUAUCCUGGUUUUUGUAGUUCUACUUAAGUAGAGUGUGUGAGUACUUCAGCCACCUCUGGUUGUUGUCACCGGGGCCUUAUCCUGUUAACAUAAAAAGAAGAACUCCACACUAACCGUUGCAAACAUCGUUCACACGUGGGCUCUGGUUUGACACCCAUUGUCCCCCCCGUGAUCAAGGUAAGGGAAGAAAUGCCGUGAGCCGUUAUCCUAAACACAAGCGUCGGGUUUCAAAGACGAUCGUAGCCCUCCUUUCUCUUGCCAGACUUUUGUCCCUUGGGGCAAUAAUGCCAUUAUGGCAUCAAGAGCGCAACGCCCAGUCAGCCAGUCAGCGAGCUGGCCCAUCGAGCGGCCACAUAGCACGAUUGCCACCCCCGCUCAACUACCUUGGGCGCUGCUCAGAUUUCCCCUUCAUAGAAACAGCUGAGUGCUUGGCCUGCGCUUUCAACUACCACUGUGGUGCACCAAUGAAUUAAUCUUUUUUUUUUUUUUUUUAAAGACAUUAUAAAUAUCCCCUUGCCUCCCUCUACUUGUUAACAGGGGGAGUGGAUCUGAUUUCCAACAAAACAGCAGCAGGGGACUCUUAAAGGAGGUGUUUUAUGCAUUCCAGGUGUCUCAAUAACUCUCGCAAUAAGAUUGUGUAAGGAAGGGUGUGUCGGAGCCGAGCUCAGCUGGUCUUGGGUGAGAGGCUGGGUGCACCGUGCACUGGUCGCCAGCCAAUCAUAGGGCACAUAUAGACAAUGAUUCACAGUCACAUUCACGCCCUAUGGACAAUAUCGUGUCUUCAGUGAACCUCACAUAGAUGUUUUUCAAAUAUGGGUGGAGAAAAUCUCGAAAACACAUGUUGAAUAUGCCUGCUCCACACAAGGAAAGGCCAAAGCCAAGCUUCAAAGCCCAAACCUCAGAGCUCAUAUGCAGAUGGACUCGUCCACUCGUGCUGCCAUCUCUGGGACGUGCUUUUGUCAAAAUAAGAUCAGGAAUGAUUGACACACCAUUUUUGGGUGGUCUUGAUGAAAGUAGCCCAUUUUUAGGGAAUGGCUGUCAAGCAAUUGGUCCAGCCCUCAUCCUGGGCCACAUACUGUUAGACCAAUGAUGAGUCUAAAAGCAGGCUGGAUUUCGCCGGCGGGUGUAUGCUUCGCAGCAGGUUGGAUCUCUUAGCAAGUGUAUGCAGAACAGGCAAGCUUAAUCUCACCAGCAAGUGCAUGUGUAACAUUAGGGUGUAUGUCACCAACAAGUGUAUGUAUAAAAGUGGGCAGGAUCUCGCUGGUGAGUACCAGCUGGGCUGGAUCUCACCAGCAACUGUGUACAUAACUGGGGGCUUGGUUUUGUCAGUGAGUGUAUAUGCAUAACAGUAGACUUGAUCUCGCCAGCAAGUGUGUAACAGAAGGCUGGCUCUUGCCGGGGUGUAACUCACCAGCAAGUGUAUUCCUAAAAGUGGGCCGGAUCUCGCUGGCAAGUGUGUACGUAACUGCGGGAUACGUUUUGUCACUGAGUGUAUACUGUAUGCAUAACAGUGGGCUUGCUCUUGCCAGCAAGUGUAUGCAAAACAGCGAAUUGAAUCUUAGCCAUAAGUAUCUACGUAGCUGGUCUGCGAGUGCACAUUCGGGCCAUGUUUUGUAAUCUGGUCAUCAUUCUGCAUUUCUGGCUGUUGUCCUCUCGCCAGCAAGUGUGCACAACAGAUGGCUGCCUGCUUCUACUUAGGGAAGCAGAGCUCAGAGUGUGAGAGAAAAAGACGAUAAAAAAAAAACACUUGGACUCAAGGUGGCAGCAGUGUGUGUGUUGCAUGGACUCAUGCAAUCUCUGUCUUGUCACUUGAAAGUGGCUCUGGAUCUUCACCCCGUCCAGCUGAUCAUGACAUAGGCAGAGAAACUCGCGUGGUUAUUAUGUAAAUUUGCUCUAUUGUUAUGUAACAGUGGGGAAGAGAUGCAGAAAGUCGAACUUUCAUUUUCCGAAAUAGGAUAACAAGAUCUACUUGGUGGCUAAAUGUCACACUUGAGGAGUGGGCGGGGUCUCCAGGGACCCUCCUAUUUUUCUACAAACAACAAUGACUACAUUUUUUGUCCAGUUUAAAGCGUGCCCACAAGCCAACAGCAACACAGGAACCUGCUGCUGAAACCUUGAGCGUGUCCCAGGAUAUGCCUGCUUAGAAAACAAAAACAAAAACAAAACAAAAAAAAAAGGUAUUUAUUCCUGUGAAUAAAAUCUCUCUGAGUAAGCACAUGCUGCUGUAGCGGCCCCCAAUUGCCACAUCGAGGGAGGGGCAGGACAUGGUUUCUCUCUGUAGACCACUCUGCUGACCUCAGCCACUCAGCCACUGCACUGUGCGUGUGUUUUGUGACUUUUUUUUGGUGACACACAUCAGGAAACAAAGGCUGGAUUUACAAUGCAGAGUUCAAGUGACACAAUCCCGACGUUUUCAUUCCCAAGUGACACAGUUUGGAAAUGUGUCACUCGUAUCUCGAGUCACCGCUCUAUUUGUUUUAUUUGGCGCAGUCAUGUUUUGAAAUUGAUGUAGUGCAAUUUGGGCCUUAUUUUUUUGGGUUUCAUGAAUAUAAAUUCAAACCUCUGAUACAGACAUUUAAUCCGAAUUGGCAACUUGAAACUGCAGUGCAAAUCCAGCCAAAGAUACGUAGGACCUGAUCUUAGAAUCACUCCUACGUGUUCAUUAUAUCGCGGGCGAACCACAAUGAAUGUGUGCGAAUACGGCCUCGGGUUUGUUCGCAACAAGCCGAGUUGGUGUAUUUGGACUGCGGGAGAUUUCAGCGGUGAGCUCCUCAAAAAUGUUUGACGGGGGGGGGAUCGUUGUAAACGCUGCCAGUGAAGCCACAGUCAUCCACUCGAGACACCCACGCGGGCCCACACAGACACAAGACGCAGACUUAGCGACACAGGCACGUUACAGUGGAAUUCCAGAGCCACAGUUUGCGCGUCGCGUCUCUCACCUUUAGCCUUCCACCGUUCAAAGGCCAUACAUAGUUAUGCACUGAAGUAGAUUUUUUGGGUUAUCCGUACUUUACCCGAGUAUUUCAUUUUGUGAACUUUUUACUCUUACGCCCCACAUUUUGACUUAUAAGGUGGAAAAACAGGGACAGCAGAGACAUACUGUGGAGGCGUCUGAACCACGGAGAUUCUCUUGUUUCGCUAGGAAUAAAACCUGAGCCAAGACAUUUUACUGUCUUUACUUUUUUUUACUUGUUGAGUUCAGUAUUUCAACUUAUACAAGUCGUGCUCUCAAUUUUCAGUACUUAAUGUGUUCACUAUUUACGAUGUGUGUUAUCUUGGUAUCGUGAAGGAUUUAUUGUGUACCCCAGUUGCUUAUUUGCUCACCAGUUCUCAAAUUAAAU